UACGGAGGGUGCAAGCGUUGUCCGGAAUCACUGGGCGUAAAGGGCGCGUAGGCGGCCUGGUAAGUAGGGGGUGAAAUCCUGCGGCCUAACCGCAGGGCUGCCUUCUAAACUGUCAGGCUUGAGCACGGUAGAGGCAGAUGGAAUUCCCGGUGUAGCGGUGGAAUGCGUAGAGAUCGGGAAGAACAUCAGUGGCGAAGGCGGUCUGCUGGGCCGUUGCUGACGCUGAGGCGCGACAGCGUGGGGAGCAAACAGG
rnacentral:rRNA from 1 species